AUUGAACGCUGGCGGCAGGCCUAACACAUGCAAGUCGAGCGAGUGGCGGACGGGUGAGUAAUGUCUGGGGAACUGCCCGAUGGAGGGGGAUAACUACUGGAAACGGUGGCUAAUACCGCAUACUAUCGGAUGAACCCAUAUGGGAUUAGCUAGUAGGUGGGGUAAAGGCUCACCUAGGCGACGAUCACUAGCUGGUCUGAGAGGAUGACCAGCCACACUGGGACUGAGACACGGCCCAGACUCCUACGGGAGGCAGCAGUGGGGAAUAUUGCACAAUGGGCGCAAGCCUGAUGCAGCCAUGCCGCGUGUAUGAAGAAGGCCUUAGGGUUGUAAAGUACUUUCAGCGGGGAGGCGUUACCCGCAGAAGAAGCACCGGCUAACUCCGUGCCAGCAGCCGCGGUAAUUC
rnacentral:rRNA from 1 species